rnacentral:rRNA from 1 species
GGCUCGAGUGGUGGCCGAUAUUAUUGAGUCUAAAGGGUCCGUAGCCGGCUUUGCAAGUCCCCUGGGAAAUCCAGCGGCUUAACCGUUGGGCUUCCAUGGGAUACUACAUUGCUUGGGACUGGGAGAGGUAGGAGGUACUCGGGGGGUAGGGGUGAAAUCCUGUAAUCCUCCGGGGACCACCGGUGGCGAAGGGGUCCUACCAGAACAGGUCCGACGGUGAGGGACGAAAGCUAGGGGCACGAACCGGAUUAGAUACCCGGGUAGUCCUAGCCGUAAACGAUGCCCGCUAGGUGUCACGACGGUCGUGAAUCGUCGUGGUGCCGUAGGGAAGCCGCGAAGCGGGCCACUUGGGAAGUACGACCGCAAGGUUGAAACUUAAAGGAAUUGGCGGGGGAGCACCACAACGGGUGGAGCCUGCGGUUUAAUUGGAUUCAACGCCGGGAAGCUUACCGGGAUCGACAGUUGUAUGAAGGCCAGGCUGAAGACCUUGCCGGACUAGCUGAGAGGUGGUGCAUGGCC